rnacentral:rRNA from 1 species
UACGGGAGGCAGCAGUAGGGAAUCUUCCACAAUGGACGAAAGUCUGAUGGAGCAAUGCCGCGUGAGUGAAGAAGGUUUUCGGAUCGUAAAACUCUGUUGUUGAAGAAGAACAUAUGUGAGAGUAACUGUUCACGUACUGACGGUAUUCAACCAGAAAGCCACGGCUAACUACGUGCCAGCAGCCGCGGUAAU